rnacentral:rRNA from 1 species
UACGUAGGGUGCGAGCGUUAAUCGGAAUUACUGGGCGUAAAGCGUGCGCAGGCGGUUUUAUAAGCCCGAUGUGAAAGCCCCGGGCUUAACCUGGGAAUGGCAUUUGGGACUGCAAGGCUUGAGUGCGGCAGAGGAGACUGGAAUUCCUGGUGUAGCAGUGAAAUGCGUAGAUAUCAGGAGGAAUACCGAUGGCGAAGGCAGGUCUCUGGGCUGACACUGACGCUCAUGCACGAAAGCGUGGGGAGCAAACAGG